UAGAUUUGAAUGCUGUCCAGAGAGUUUACAGCCUGUACUUUUCAAAGAACAGUCAAAUUUUCUGAUUAACAUCUUCAGCAGAUAAUGAAGAUCAGCUGUAUUUCAGAUUCCUGCCCUCAAAAAGCACUCAGUCUCCACUCCUUGUCCACUGUUUCAUGGAGGAAACAUUCUUCUCUCUCCACAUCCCCACCCCCAUCUCACCUGGAUUACUUGUAUGUGCUGAUGACACAAUUGGGACCAGAAGUCUUCUGUUGGGUUUGCUGUAGGUUAUAUAUUCACCACUAGUUAUGUGUCUAGCUUUAAAGGGCCUAGAAAGCAAAACCAAAUUAAAAUGACUCAACCUACCAGCAGAGGAAAUUUAGGGUGAAAAUUAGGAAAUUUCUGACUAUGAGCAUAUUCAAGCAUUGGAACAGGCUACCUAGAGAAGUUGUGGAAUUGCCAUCCCUGGACAUUUUCAAGAGCAGGUGAGAUGCAUUUGGCUG
rnacentral:lncRNA from 1 species